UGAUUGGUCAAGGUCAGGAGCUCCAGCUGGCACCAACCUCCUGCUUCUCUGGACCAUCCAUCCAUCCAUCCAUCCAUCCAUCCAUCCAUCCAUCUAUCCAUCUGCCCACCCACCUACCACCCACCCAUCCACCCAUCCACUCAUCUACCCAUCCACCCAUCCAUCCAUCCAUCCAGCCAGCCAGCCAGCCAGCCAGCCAGCCAUCCAGUUCAUGUUGCCAUGUGCCAUGUAUAGAGAUCAAAUGAUAAUUUGUAGGGGACCAUUUUUCCUUCCAUCAUGUGGAUUUCAAGUAUCAAACUCAGAUGAUUAGGUUUGGUUGCAAACACCUUUACCCACUGAGUCAUCUUGAUGGCUCUCUCUGUCCUCCUCCCUCCUGCCUGACAUCCCUAGACCUGGUCCAGAUGCUUUAAAAAAUGGGUGCCUGGCUGCUAUCUAAUUUCUCUGCUUCUAAAAGGGAAAGAAGUCAGGCCUUGUGCAGCAUCUGGACCUGGCCUGAAGGGUGCCACCCAGAGUGGAUUUCGUGAAAGAAGGGUGGCCUUGAUGGAACAAGAUUUUAAUUCUAGCUGUUACCCUCUGGGGUUAUGGAUGAGUGCACUGCUUGACUGUGGGAGAUCUCUGAAUAGGUCCUGGGAGGAUGCUCAGCCAUGCUGCCCAGGCUACACUUCCCAGACAUGUCUUCCCCGGGGUCCACUGUUACAGGGCGGUGUAGGCAGGCCUCAGGACUCCCUCAGGCAUGUUCAACUUCAGAAACAGUUCCAGCACGUCCAUGUCUAGACAAGGGGACCUGGAACACGGCCAGGGAUGAGGGAGACCAUGUUUGUAACACAGUUAGCCAGGGAACUGAAGACAUGGGCAAGGUGGGAAGGUGGGAUAACCCCCCCCCCAACACACACACACACACACACACACACACCCCAGAGCCCCAAAUAGGCUGUUUCCAUUUUCAAAGUCAGUGUGAAGGGCAGAUAAGGAGGCAGAGGAAGGGGAGCUGCUAAGCCAGAGACAGCUGGGUCCCAGAGACCCCUGAACUGGGCAGCAGGCUAAGGAGACAGGCAGGGAGGCCUCAGCCACUCUUCUGGAAUAUCACUCAGGUUUAAGCAGGGCAGAGUGAACGACUUGGUUGUGGAUUGGUGGGGACAGGACUGGAGUGAGCAGGGGAACAGGGCCAUGCGGGAUACCCCAUCGAUCUUUCUUCAGUCCAGUAGUGCUGGGGUCCUGCUCUUUCUUCUAGCUCCCUCAUCCCCUCCCCCUUCUUCUCACCUCACCUUGCUCCUCAGGGCUAAACGUGCCCCUGUUUAUAUGGGCCAGUCUUCCCUUCAUGGCUUCUGGUUUGGGAACUUGCUGAGGAAGACAUCCUCACACAAGAGGGCCAACAUUGUCUUCUGUUGCUCUCUUCUGUCCCCUUAAUCUAACUCAUCCGCUCCUGCCCAGGUGGUCCCCGGUAGAUUGUGCUGUUAGUCAUCAUCACUAGAUGGAGACAUCUCAAGAAUGGGAUCGCCAGCUCUGCUCAGUGUCCUGUCCCCACCACCUGCAUGGGUGUCAUACUUUACAAUCAUGCUGAACAAAGAGCCAUAAGAUGUGCAGGACUCCCCGAGCCAAGACCGAGUGCUGUUGAGCAAGGGACUGGUCAUGGAAGCUGAUGGCUGUCAACCCAGAACACAUGUGCUAAAUAUUUAUCUGUGUGAGCAGGGGCAGUGGAAAAGGCCCUGUUGGAAGCCUGUGCUGCGGAGUGUAAAGCUGGGAUACAGGGACUAGAGAGCUACAUCCUUUAUGUCCCCUCUUCAUUUUCUCAGCCGACAAGCUUCAUACUCAACUCCCUUAAAACUACCACUCACUCUCCUGGGGACCAUGGCCAGGUAAGGGAGCUGGCUGAAGCCGUAGAGCGUCUAAGAGAAACUCUCAUUCCUCGUUGUUCACACAUGAGCCCCAGAAUGGUGCUGGGAACUGGGUGGGUCUGGCGAGAGCUACAAGGCUGAGGAGGUGCCAGCCUCCAGCAGAACACCGAAGCAACUAAGUCCCCCCCCCCCCACACACACACCGAGGGCACAGGAGGGUCCUGAGCCAAGCAGUGUCAGCACUGUUCAAAUUAAAGCCACCAGCACCCAUCCCCGACCCUGGCAAACACUGUUACAUACAUGCUGAAUAGUGGGAUUGCAGACACAGACCCCACAGGCCAGGGCAGCUGCUUGGAUAGGUUGAGGAAAAGAUAACGACUGGCUAUACAGAUGUGUGAUUGUACAUCUGGGAUGGGGGUGGGCAGUGAUCAGAGAAUAGGACUGGAGAGAUGAUCCAGGAAUGUGCAGAGAAGCCAAGAUGAGAAAUGCUGAGUUUCUGUACAAAUCCCACUGUCCCUUGCCUGUGAGUCUGGUUGAAGCCUCUGCCUUGUGAGAAGCAAGAAUUGCAGCAUAAUUAACAUAGUUUGCUUAAGGCCUUGCUCCAUUCCUGGCUUUAAACCUGCAAUUUUCUAGGAAUCUCAGCAAAAACUCCGUUUAUAGUAAAUGAUGUGCUAACCCUCUUGUGUAGCCUGGAGGCUCCUGUUUUUAUCUAAUCAGAGAAAGAUCCCACCUAAGGCACCUCCAGAGUCGCCCUUUAACCUCACGAUCAAGAAGAAAUCCAAGGAGGGAAAAAGAAAAGUUGCUUAGCAACCCUUUGAGAUGUAACAUGAAAGUCACCAAGAUGAUACAUAAUGGCGAAAGUUGAAACAUUUAGGGCUCUCCAAUGAGAUGCUCAAAUCCACACUUGUGUUGUCUUGUGUUUUGUUUCAUUUUGAAGUUUUACUUUUUGCUCAUGUAUAUGUGUGAGUGUAUCCCGUGUGUGUGUGUGUGUGUGUGUGUGUGUGUGUGUGUGUGUGUGUGUGUGUGUGUGUGUAUCCUGUGUGUGUGUGUCAGUGCCCAAGGAGGCCAGAAGAGGGCGCUGGGUUUCCUGAAGCUGGAGUUACAGGCAGCUGGGAGGCCUGACGUGGGUGCUAGGAAUCAAACUCACCUGCUCUGAAAGAGCAGUACACACGCUUCAUUGCCGAGCCAUCUCCCUAGACCCUUAGGUUAUGUUUUAUUCUUUCCCUAGGCUUCUUUUUCUCUUAAUCCUCAUACUUAAACAUCUAUUUAAAGUGUUUUAAUCAACUGUGACUGUUCUUUCAGAAGGCCAUAUCUGUUCUCUGGAGCAGUGGUCCUCAACCCUUCUAAUGCUGGGACCUUUCAAUACAGUUCCUCAUGUUGUGGUAACUCCCAGUCAUAAAAUUAUUUUCAUUGCUACUUUAUAACUAAUUUUGCUACUGCUAUGAAUCAUAAUGUAAAUAUUUGUGUUUUCUGAUGGUCUUAGGAGACCCCUAUGAAAGGGUCCUUUGACCCCAAAGGGGUCAUGACCCACAGGAUGGGAAACACUGGUCUAGAGUAUAUCAUGUUCUUUUCCUGGACAUCUUUCUACUUUUUUGUUUGUUUGAGACAAGGUCUUCUUAUGUAGUAGACCAGGCUGGCCUUGAACUCAUGGAGACCUGCCUGCUUCUGUGGUCUGAUCACUACCAUGCCCAGAACUUUUCCACUUUGAAUACACUUCCAACCCUGCUUCAUCCUGGCUCAUCCUGAAAUUCUUCUCUGCAUCAAAGCCAAGGGUCCCUUUACCCGAGUCUAAGUCCAUAAAAGAUGAAGGGAAUGCAUCUGGAUGGAGUUUCUGCCAUCGCUGACAACAUGGCUUUUCCGAGCCUUUGUUUCCCCAUCUGUCAAGUUGCAUUGUUCAGAGCCUCUACUCCACGUCACUGAGAGUCUGCAUUGGAGAGUUCCUAACACCACUGAUGUAAGACACUCACUCGUGUUUAAUAAAUCCUGCCUGGCUAUAAUGCAAGGGAUGUGACAGAAUAAUCUGACCCCGAGACACUGGGCAGAGGAAUGGGUACCAAUUCCUGUGGCUGUGACUUUGUUCUUGUGAGAAAGAGCCUUAAAACAUUAAGGGGAACAGUCAGUUAGGUUUCAAUAGGGUCUGGAUCCUUCCUGAGGGGACAGGGAUGCCCACUGAACUGGGGUACUCCCACACCCUUUAUACCAGUCCAACCAUUCACAGUCAAGUCUGAGGACGACCCCUCUUGCAAAGGAUAGUCACACAGAAGGGAAGCUGCAACGCUAGGAACAACAUUGGUCCAGCCCUUGACCUAGCAAGGCUCAGGAGGCAGAGCUUCAUUUGCAUCAAAACUCACUGAGGAGCUGUCCAUAGCUGAGCAUAGCUGGGGAGACAGCUGGGGUAGAAGUGAGGCCGUCUGAUGCCUGGUCGUGGCUAUGGGGCACAGGGCUUCAUCUUCAGGUGGGUAAAAAGUGAACCAUCUCUUACUCCAUGUUUUUCAUUUUAGUAAAAGUUUCAUUGUGCUGGUCAAAUCUUGUGUUGGUCCAAACUCCUGGGCUCAAGUGACUCGCCCACCUCAGCCCCUCAAGCAGCUGAAACUAUAGAGACACAUCACAAUGC
ensembl:lncRNA